rnacentral:miRNA from 1 species
UCCCAUCUUAUCCCAUCCCACU